CUUGGGAUCGCGAGAGGCUAGGGAGGGUGGAGGGGAGGGGAGCGGCGGUGGGUGGGGAGGGUAGCGAGAGGUUCUAGGUCGCACGAGGUUCUAUGGGUGAGAGACGAGGAGGGAGGGAGGGGAGGCCGUUCUAGGUGGGGCGCCGGAAGGAGAGGAGUUAGGGGUUAUGCCGAUGUCUCUACCGACGAGGGCGCGGCCGGAAGAAGGAGUGGGGACUACGGCGACGACAGAGGAGAGGCCACUCACGCCUCCUCGGUGGCGCCAGCUCCGUCGGCGGCCGACCUCGGGGCGGAGCAGAGGAGAGGCCAGCGGCACCUCCAGGCGGCGCAGGUUGGAGGAGCUGCCGCGGGCCUUGGGAUCCGCCGGGUAGAGAAGGUUGGUACCGGUACCGGUACCGCUCGGACGUUCUACACGUCAUCGUCUAGAAGCUCAUGUUGCCGAGGCGUGGGACGUCGGUGGCCAAGCCCUGCUCGCGUCGCGACCAAGCCCACAGGACGCGGUUGGUCUCGCGCGGGGUCCACGAGCUGUCUUGCGGGUGACGUGGCGGACCAGAGUUGAAAGAAAGGUAAACGGUUCGACUCCCUCUCCCGAUCCCCGAGCCCACCACCUCACCGACAUUCUUAUACGAGCGAGGGAGGAGGGGAGUCUAGGUGAUCGCACAACCAACCUUAGUCACCUAUAAGUGUACUACAUAUGUGCCUUGACGUCGAAGUGUAGAAACAGGACUUAGUAUUACUCAUAGAAAAGAGCGGUAGCUAAAGACGUGCAUACCAAGUCGACCGUACAGAUCUAGAUGUACAAGUGGACCGAAUACCACGUAGAGUUAGUACCUACUUUUUUACAGUUUUAGGAUCGAAUAUCUGUGACAUGAUUACACCCACCUAUGUUAAAGUCUUCUACUUUGAAGUUAUUUUACUUUUCCGUUUUAAUAUAACUAACAACAGAAGGUAUGAAAAGGACUUAGUAUCACGACUUGAAAAGAAAACUAAAUACACAGAAAUAAAUUCAAUCGAGUAGUACUCGAUAUCCAAGUCGACCAAACAAACAACCUACGGUCCAGAAAGAGCAGUAAAAACUGUUGGAAAACUAAACAUAGAACUCGGUGUAAAAGAUGAAGAACAGAAAAGUUACACUCUUAUGGUCUGUGCUUUACUACGUAUACGUGAUACUAUGGACCUAGUGAAAUUUAAGUCCUAAUAAGUACCGAUUAAGUCCUAACUUCGUCCCCUUUGGGGGGAGGAGGUAUAACGGACAACUAAUAAACCCCUACAGACACCUCUCUCUACGACUAUGAAGAUAUCCGGAUAGUGAAAUUUAAAAUAAUGUUGGUCAAAAUACGGAUCUUGUUAGUACCACAGAUCAAAGGCGAAAUACGGGGUGCAAAAUGAUCGACGUUCGAGUCGAAACACGAGACAUCCUUGAUUCAUGUAGUAAUAAAUCCGCACAAGACUAUUAACACUUCUUAUUUCCACAGAAGACUACACCACCACGGUUUGUUUUGAAAAUACGAAUACGACUCGAAUGAAAAUUAUAACACUUGUACUGUUAAAUAUCCGACAUGACUUCAAGGUGAGGAAAAUAAGACACACGACUCGAAUGGAAACAUACAGUCCUAAAAAAGAAGUAGAUAAUGGGAAGGAAACCGACAUCAAAUAGAAGUAUGUAUUUGGUUAGAACCACAAGAAGGAUGAACGUAAACUAAUACAAAAAUUUUAAGGGAUCGUGUUGAUAUAUGCUGUUACACAAAAAAAAAGACAAAAGUCACAGAUAUCACGUAAACGUACUAGAACUUAAUACACGAUGUCUUAUAUUAAUCGACUAAAUUUGACGACAAAAGGAAGCGGAUUAGUUUACGGGAAACAAAAGAGUCAUACGUAUGGGUUCAGUUCGAACGCCAGUACUACUUCCACGACUAGACCCAAAGGAUAGAAGUCUUCAUUUUACAAACGAACGAUGGAAGAAAUACUACUACAUGAAGUAAGCACAAGGUAGCACCCUAGGUCCUGUUUCUUCAGCCCUCUUAGUAUCUGAAGAUCGAGUAACCUCGAUCAAUAUGAAGCUAUCGAUCAAUAAAAAAAUAAGAAAUCAACACAAUGGACUACGUCUGAUAAAGACUAACAUUUGGACUACACUUGGUACAAACUAGCGUUACACGGUCCAAACCGAGACAAACUAACAUAAGUACUAAACUUGGUACAAAAGUACUAUAAAUCAAUACGAGACAAACUUCGUAACACAUUUAUAACGAAUAAAUAA
rnacentral:rRNA from 1 species